AUUUAGAGGGUUCUGACAUCACAGUCAUCUUUCUGACAUCACAUCCAGUCUCUCUGCUGUGAUGUCAAAUAUCAAUGCCAGACUUGCUUCUCUGUUGUGAUGUUAAAUAUCAAUGCCAGACUUGCUUCUCUGUUGUGAUGUCAAAUAUCAAGCUGAAGUCUAUGUAUCACGUGUCUCUCCCAUUUUGUAGAAUUUGCGACCACAAAGUCUGGGUUCUUUUCUAGGUCAGCUCUUACUCGUUCUGGUAGACCUGCCAGAUUCAUCUCUCUGUUGUGAUGUCAAAUAUCAAUGUUUGACACAAUUUCGGACCAUCUGCUCAAGCCCAACAAUAACAAGCAUUGCCCUGGUGAUUGAGGAUCAGAUUGUCCUCAAUGACGUCUGUGAUUUCCCUAAUGCAGUUGCACUUUUUCUUGGACUCAUCUAUGCACUUAACCUGGACUAUCUAAAGGACUUAAGGUACACUUUUGAAGUAAUUCAAAAGGUGUUCGUGGGUCUUGGUACUCAGUGCUCUGCCUGGGGUUCAUGCUUUAAAGAAUAAUUUGCUGAAACGGUGGGCAGAAAAGUGUUCGUGAUAACAAAAUCUGUUCUCAUGCUGGUUUUUUUUUUAAGUAACCCAGUGCUAUGAUUUGACCAUGAUUUGGUCAAUAAAGUCAUCUUAAAAGUCACUGCAUACACUUCAGUAAUUAUUUAAUUUAUUUCUUUUUAUAUUCAUACUAGAAAAAAAAGCAAUAUCUGACUAAUAUUUCAUAUUAUCAGUUCCAUUGAUAUCGUACAGAUAAAAAUAUUGGUAACAGCAUUGUUUGUUUCUGUGGGUAUGUUCUUGGUAUCUUAGCAGUUCUUGUCAUUACCGCUUGAUUAUAGUACACCUGAACUAUCCAGUGCUGGCUCUGCACUUAGGAUGUAUCAUGAUUUAAUAGUUAGUUAGUUUUUAUUUUCAUGUGCUAUGAAACGUGUGUGUUUCACUUUACAUGUUUGAACCUUAGGGGUGACACAGGACUUUGUAUUGCUAGAAAAACUUAAAGAAACAGAAUAAAACAUUUUCCCAUCGUAAAGAAAACUCCCUUAAAAUAUGGACAAUAACAAAUCUCUGUGUAAAAGAACAGUACCAAAAAAGAUGUGUCACAGUUUCUGGAUGAUCCCCACAGAAAGUACAAUUAGUAUUUAUGUCCCUUUUAAAUUUGACCAUGUAGUGACUGGCUGGAUAACAUUUAUGUAGAAUUUUAAAAGAGACUUCUUUCACCUUAUUUAUGUAGCCCUGUCUGCAAUUAUUCGGGCUUGCAGUAUAAAGAAAAAGUCUACUGUUAUAAAAAGUGGUUAAAAUAUAAAUAGUUGAUAAAAGGUUUAAAAAUCAAAUGCAAGUACAAAUGUAUUUCAUUUACAGUUAAGAGUCCAAUAAAUAAAAGGGUUUCAUGAUUUAGAGUUCAUUUUCUGUGCACACUAAAUAUGUUGGGGUGUAACCUAAGCUUAUUUACCCAUCUAAUGUCAGUUAUCUCAAUAUUGUAUUGUCAUUGGUUGUUGUGCUGACGAGCCAGUCAAUGUCACUCUUCUCUGUUAUGGGGGCGGGACGAGUGGUAACAGUUUGUGUGAAUCUGUGGGAGCGGACACAGAAGCUAAGUCCGAAGAGAGAGAUGUCGUAAGGCAAACGUGGUGUGGAUUUUGCAUCUAAGUGUAUCAUUGAGGUCGACUACCCGUGGUCCUGAUAUUACUUAUUUGUGAUCUGCAAGAGGUAAAUGAGACUGUGUGCCUUGACAUUUGUACUGUAACUAUUCGUUAUAGUGAUGCUAACUAGCGACUUGCUAAUUAGCGCAGCUUACCGCGUUAUGUGCUGUGAUGCCAUGCUGUAUGUUUAGCUCUGUGAUUUUCAGUCAAAGCAUGCUAAUGCUAAAUCGUUAUGUGAUAGCAUUUGGUAUUGUUAGCUCAAGUGUUUUAAUAUGUUUAGAAGCCGAGGGACGCUCUGAAAGGAGAGGGAGAGAGAGGUUUCUGCCCGGAUGGACCCUGCUAUUUCCUCGCCCCUGACUGUUUUCUUACCCCUGAAUGUCUUCACUACUGGUGAACUAACUGCUAACUGCCCGUUUCUGAUUGCCCCACUAACAAACUCAUUGGACUUGUGAGUACUAACUGGAACUAAAGUGCACGUAUUUUGUUUAUUGCUCAUUUGAGUGAAGCGGCCAUCAGUUUUAGGCCUCACCGCACCCGAACUUCGAAUCAGGCCU
ensembl:lncRNA